UGUUUUGGAGGAGCUGUAGAAGAAAAGCGGGUUUAUACACGGAAGCAAAACCACGACGUAAAUCUUACAACCUGUCUACUCUCGUUUGUCUCUUCGGAUUGAGUUGAGAGGACUGGACAGAUUAGAUUAUACAGAUUUGGUUUACAUUUCACCGGGUGGUGGACGCAGCGGACACAAUGCGGACGGCUUUGUUGUCACUUUCUAUUUUGAUACUCUGCGUAUUGGUCGCAGGGGCUCCAAGUGUCGAGAGAGACGCACCAGAACAUAUUGUUCCAGAUGGUAAUUUGGGCAGUCAAGACCCAAAUACCGCAGGGAAGCAGGGAAAGGGAGCAACACCUGAUGGAUCUGGAA